CAACAGGCAGUUUUAAUGAAUGCCUGAAGGCAGACCUUCAGGCCAUUUCAGGCCGAGGCCUAAAAUGGCAUCAGCCCCAAAUGAGGACGGGCAGGGGUUUUACAGUCUCCCGUAAACAGGAAGUGUUUCAGUCUGUGUAUCUACUGCUACGUGAUACCCGGUAGGCCUCUCUCUGGGUCUUCAGAACAGCUCUCUCCCCGCUUCUGCUAUCUUGCUGACGCACGCUGAUGACGUAAGCCGCCUUGCGCCUUGGGACUGGGCCUGAGAAGGGAGGAGUUAUUCAGGCCUCCGCCAGCUUCUAGGCCCUGGGGAUGGUCUUUCACCUCCCUCUUUCUGAUCUCUUUUUCAUGCUCCUCCUUGCUCCAAAGAAAAGCCGGAUGGCAAAAGAGCCCAGAACCUAUUGGAACUGACAAAAUCAAGUCACGGCGCCUACAAAGAUGAGGGGCAGAUUCUGGCUGCCUUUUAAUUUCGUCCUUCACCUGAUAUCUGUGCCAGAGAAUGUGGCAUGGUUCAGUCUUCCAGGAGUUCUGCUACAGAGAAGAGAGUAACCCCCAUCCAUCAUGGCCAAAGCACCCAGUCAGGCUCCGCUCUGGAUCCAGCCCGACAAAUGCAACCCUUGAAUAGGGUUUGUGCAAGCAAACUGGAUGACGACCGAAGAAACCCUGUCGCUUCUGAGAAGACACCCAAUCCAAGAAUAUACAGUCGAAUGUAAUUUGGAAUUUACGAGUCUUAUCACAUUCUCAUUCUGCUUGAGCAAUUCAAGAUAUAAGAAAAACAGACUGUCUACAUUUCUUCAGAGUUCCUCCAACUAUUGGCUUAAAAUUCCUGAAAUUAAAAUUAUAGUUCUUUGACA
rnacentral:lncRNA from 1 species